rnacentral:rRNA from 1 species
UGAANCNNCUGCNGGAGGGAUNNCAUNNNUACACANAUAAAAUAUCGAAGGCCGUUCGCGGCNUGGACUAUUUUAUUACCCUUGUCUUUUGCGCACUUGNUUGUUUCCUGGGCGGGUUCGCUCGCCACCAGGACCACAAUAUAAACCUUUUUUAUGCAGUUGCAAUCAGCGUCAGUACAACAAAUGUAAAUCAUUUACAACUUUCAACAACGGAUCUCUUGGUUCUGGCAUCGAUGAAGAACGCAGCGAAAUGCGAUACGUAGUGUGAAUUGCAGAAUUCAGUGAAUCAUCGAAUCUUUGAACGCACAUUGCGCCCUUUGGUAUUCCAAAGGGCAUGCCUGUUCGAGCGUCAUUUGUACCCUCAAGCUUUGCUUGGUGUUGGGNCGUUUUUNNGUCUUUGGCUCGGCCAAAGACUCGCCUUAAAGUGAUUGGCAGCCNGGCCUNACUGGUUUCGCAGCGCAGCACAUUUUUGCGCUUGCAAUCAGCAAAAGCGGACGGCAAUC